rfam:Clostridium carboxidivorans P7 ctg00205, whole genome shotgun sequence.
UGAGUAAGUCAGACAAUCGCUGCUGUAGAAAUACAGGAGAGGAAAGUCCGAGCUCCAUAGGACAGGGUGCUGGGUAAUACCCAGUCAGGGCAACUUGAAGGAAAGUGCAACAGAGAUAUACCGCCAUAUGUGUUUAUCACAUAUGGUAAGGGUGGAAAGGCGAGGUAAGAGCUCACCAGCGCAUUGGCGACUUUGCGGCUAUGUAAACCCCAUCUGGAGCAAGAUCGAAUAGAGAAGCGUUAAGGGGUGGUCCGUCCCGCUUCCGGGUAGUAUCGCUGGAGCCUAUUAGUAAUGAUAGGCCUAGAUAGAUGAUUGUCUAAUACAGAACUCGGCUUAUAGAUUUGGUCACAUA